rnacentral:rRNA from 1 species
AUACUGGGCUGUUCGAGUCUGGUAAUUGGAAUAAAUACAAUCUAAAUCCCUUAGCGAGGAUCCAUUAGAGGUCAAGUCUGGUGCAAUCAGCCGCGGUAAUUCUAGCUCCAAUACCGUAUAUUUAAGUUGUUGCAGUUAAAAAGGUCAUAGUUGAACCUUGGGAUGGGUCGCCCGGUCCGCCUUCGGUGAGCACCGGUCGCCUUGUCCCUUCUCUCGAAAAAGCUCGUAGUUGAACCUUGGGAUGGGUCGCCCGGUCCGCCUUCGGCGAGCACCGGUCGGCUUGUCUCUUCUGUCGGCGAUACGCUCAUGGCCUUAACUGGCCGGGUCGUGCCUCCGCCGCCGUUACUUUGAAGAAAUUAGAGUGCUCAAAGCAAGCAUACGCUCUGUAUACAUUAGCAUGGGAUAAUAUCAUAGGAUUUCGAUCCUAUUGUGUUGGCCUUCGGGAUCGGAGUAAUGAUUAAUAGGGACAGCCGGGGGCAUUCGUAUUUCAUAGUUAGAGGUGAAAUUCUUGGAUUUAUGAAAGAUGAACAACUGCGAAAGCAUUUAUCAAAGAUGUUUUCAUUAAUCAAGAAUGAAAUUUGAGGGCUCGAAGACGAUCAGAUACCGUCCUAGUCUCAACCAUAAACGAUGCCGACUAGGGAUCAGCGGAUGUUGCUUUUAGAACGCCGUUGGCACCUUAUGAGAAAUCAAAGUUUUUGGGUUACAGGGGGAGUAUUGUCGCAAGGCUGUAACUUAAAAGAAUUGACGAAAGGGAACCACCAGGAAUGGAGCCUGCGGCUUAAUUUGACUCAACAUGGAGAAACUUACCAUGUCGAGACAUAGUAAUGAUUGACAAACUGAGAUAUCUUUCUUGAUUCUAUGGGUGGUGGUGCAUGGCCGUUCUUAGUUGGUGGAGCGAUUUGUCUGGUUAAUUCCGUUAACGAACUGGACCUCAACCUGCUAACUAGCUACAUGGAGGCAUCCCUUCACGGCCGGGUUUCUUAGAGGGACUAUUGUCGUUUAGGCCAAGAAAGUUUGAGGCAAUAACAUGUCUGUGAUGCCCUUAGAUGUUCUGGGCCGCUUGCUCGCUACACUGAUGUAUUCAAUGAGUUCAUACCUUUGCCGACAGGCCCGAGUAAUCUUUGAAAUUUCAUCUUGAUGGAGAUAGAUCAUUGCAAUUGUUUGUCUUCAACGAGGAAUUCCAAGUAAGCGCUAGUCAUCAGCUUGCGUUGACUAUGUCCCUUCCCUUUGUACACACCGCCUGUUGCUCCUACCGAUUGAAUGAUCCGGUGAAGUGUUCGGAACGCGGCGACAUGGAUGGUUCACCGUCCGAGACGUCGCGAGAAGUCCACUAAACCUUAUCAUUCAGAGGAAGGAGAAGUCGUAACAAGGUUUCUGUAUGCAGAAGGAUCAUUG